AUUGAACGCUGGCGGCAUGCCUUACACAUGCAAGUCGAACGGCAGCAUGGAGAGCUUGCUCUCUGAUGGCGAGUGGCGAACGGGUGAGUAAUGCAUCGGAACGUACCGUGUAAUGGGGGAUAACGUAGCGAAAGUUACGCUAAUACCGCAUACAACCUGAGGGUGAAAGCAGGGGAUCGCAAGACCUUGCGUUAUACGAGCGGCCGAUGUCAGAUUAGCUAGUUGGUGAGGUAAAGGCUCACCAAGGCGACGAUCUGUAGCGGGUCUGAGAGGAUAAUCCGCCACACUGGGACUGAGACACGGCCCAGACACCUACGGGAGGCAGCAGUGGGGAAUUUUGGACAAUGGGGGCAACCCUGAUCCAGCCAUGCCGCGUGAGUGAAGAAGGCCUUCGGGUUGUAAAGCUCUUUCGGCCGGGAAGAAAUCGCACAGGCUAAUACUCUGUGUGGAUGACGGUACCGGCAUAAGAAGCACCGGCUAACUACGUGCCAGCCGCCGCCGUAA
rnacentral:rRNA from 1 species